rnacentral:lncRNA from 1 species
GCCCCCUACCGGACAGGCGGCGGGAAAACGCCGCGCAACUCAGACCACUGGAGCGGAGUAGUAUCUGGAGUUUCUGUAACAUCCUUUCCCUUUUUUUUUUUUUUUAAAGCCAGAGCCUCUGUCGCCCAGGCUGCAGUACAGUGGCGUAAUCUCAGCUCACUGCAACCUCUGCCUCCCGGGAUCAAGCGAUUCUCCUUCCUCAGCCUCCCGAGUAGCUGGGAUUACAGGUGCCCGUCGGCUAAUUUUUGGUUUUUUGUUUUGUUUUGUUUUGUUUUUUUUGUUUUUGUUUUUGUUUUGAAACGGAGUCUCUGUCGCCCAGGCUGGAGUGCAACGGCGUGAUCUCGGCUCACUGCAACCUCCGCCUCCCGGGUUCAAGCGAUUCUUCUGUCUCGGCCUCCCAAGUAGCUGGGAUUACAGGCGUCCACCACCAGGCGCAGCUAAUUUUUUGUAUUUUUAGUAGACACGAGGUUUUGCCAUGUUGGCCAGGCUGGUUUCGAACUCCUGGCCUCAAGUGAUCCGCCUGCCUCGGCCUCCCAAAGUGCUGGGAUUACAGGCGACACCCUUUGCUUUUUUUUUUUUUUUUUUUUUGAGGCGGAGUAUCACUCUGUUGCCCAGGCUGGAGUGCAAUGGCGUGAUCUCGGCUCACUGCAACCUCUGCCUCCCAGGUUCAAGAGAUUCUUCUGCCUCAGCCUCCCAAGUAGCUGGCACUGCAGACACGCACCACCACACCCAGGCUACACAGAACAACAUCAUUAGCAACAUUGUUUCAGCAAGGAAAUAAUCCUUAUUGGCAAAGGGAAACCAAGGAAAGAAAACUAUUGUUUUCUUCGGCUACAUGCUGUCUGCAAAGCACCCCAUGGAUUCAAUUUCUCAUCAAUUCAGAAUGGAAUACUAACGUGCUGCCUAGAGAUACAGAAGUGGGAUGAACGCAGGGCCUUACUCAGCAUUCAGAACAAAACUGAUGGUGCUAGCAUAUAUAAGACUGAAACACCAAAGUCCUCCGUGGAAGUUAAUGAAUUUCUGGUUAUGAGUUGGAUUCUUCAGCGGAGUAUUUGAGCCAUGCCUUGAGGCACAUACUUCAAGUUGCUGCAUCCAGUUUUAAACUCCAGAUUGAGCUUUACAUAUUAAAUGUGCACAUUUGUUUUCACAUUUUUGAGCUUUGCCAGUGGCACCCUCUCUAAUUAAUCAUCCCGCGGGCUUAGAAAACUUCUGCCCAAUCCUUUCUGAUUUGUUAAAAGAAAGAGAGAAGGUUUUAGUCUGAAAAAGGCCUUAUCUGAUAAACAUCACAUUAUAUGGAUUUUUACAUUUAAGUACAUUUUCUUUUUAAAUCCGGUGGCUUUCCCAAACUAGAAAGAUGGAGUGUUUGCAUACAUCCACCAACCACCAACAUCAGCAGAAAGAAAGCUUGAUACAGUAAAGGAAAGAAAUGGCAAUUUAACAGUUCUUUUAUUUUCCAUUCAGAUCACAUACACAUUAACCAAAUGAGGCCUCACAGCGUGGAAUCUGAUAUCAUAGCAAUGUUUUCAGGAAGCAAUAAUUGAAUACUCCUCAUUAAAAAGGUUCAUAAAAGAAUCCUAUUAAAACCAAUACGAAUAAUAAACCUUGAAAAUGCUGCUUUAAAUUCCAAGAGGAUGGCGAAGAUCUGCGUCAGUAACAGUCUUCCUGUUCAUAGAGUGAUUUUGAAAAUCUCGUGGGCUGAAUUUUUCCAAGCCAAGCAGGCAUCUCACUAUCCAGUGAAAGACCCAGGGACUAUUUUGAAUGCAUUCAAUCCAAGCCUGUGCCUUUCACAGUCAGUUUUCUCCAAGAAUUUAUCCCUAAUCCUGACAGGAUACCCAACCAAAAGGCUAAUUAUUUUUAGUCACUUAAUUAAUAGAUAAUUCUUACAAAGAGCCCAACACCUGAACCCACCAAGUCCUCUUUGCAUGGGCAAAUCCAGCUGGUUUGAUGCACUAAUUUCACUAAAUGAAAAUUUGGACAAAUUUUAUGUUACUGCAAAUAAUGGUAAAUGUAUCCAAUUCAAAAAAUAGUAAUAAAAAGGUUAUUUUUUUGUUCCCUUUUUAAUCACAGAGGCAGCUGUGGUAGACCCCAAAUGCACAGGGCAUAUGGCUCACCUCACCACCCCAGAUGGUGCUACUGGCCCAGCCUUCCCAGCGUCCACCCUGGCAGUCUUUCCUCAUUCCCUUGGCCCUCACCCUGUCUCCUCAGCCUUCCAGCUGCACUGCUAUUGUAGGCUGCUCUUUCUCGACAAUCUCCUCUUAUUUUCUGUGAUGUCUCAGGAUGUUUCUUCUUCUCAGGGGUUUUCCAAGCUUCUUCCACACUCAGGUGCUCAGACGUUUUUAUGGUCUGGCUUCUGAAGGAGAUCAAAAUUCAUAUGGACAGGCAUUUGUGUAUUAGCCAAGAGUUGCUAAUGCAUUUCUUGAUCAUAAGUCUCAGAGAAAUGGGAUGAAAGAUCUUAGAUUUUUAUACACUCUGCUUCAAUGAUUUCUCAGCUUUUCUGAUCUGAAAAGAAUAAAGGACACCUUUUAGCUAAGCACUUUCUGUUUUAUUUCUUAUAAUGCCAUGUAGUGGCUGUUACUGCCAACACAGCAGUCAUUUAAUAAACCCUGAAUGUCUGUAGCAUUUCUUCUCAUUCGUUUCAGUGAGUGCUGUUCUUUUCUGUGUUUAUUUUUAAUUUUUUUUUUCCAUGCAGUAUUUCUUGCACCCUCUUAUUACUCCUCAGCCUUUGGAUUCUAGAUCAGUGGUUCUCAAACUGCCUGCAUCAGAACACCUGAAGGGCUUGUACAACACAGAUUGCUGGAUCUCAUUCCCAGAGUUUAUUAAUUGUUAGGUCCAGGUGGGCCAGGGAAUUUGCAUUUCUA